rnacentral:rRNA from 1 species
AGCGAACGCUGGCGGCAGGCCUAACACAUGCAAGUCGAACGAAGUCUUCGGACUUAGUGGCGGACGGGUGAGUAACACGUGGGAACGUGCCUUUAGGUUCGGAGUAACUCAGGGAAACUUGUGCUAAUACCGAAUGUGCCCUUCGGGGGAAAGAUUUAUCGCCUUUAGAGCGGCCCGCGUCUGAUUAGCUAGUUGGUGAGGUAAAGGCUCACCAAGGCGACGAUCAGUAGCUGGUCUGAGAGGAUGAUCAGCCACAUUGGGACUGAGACACGGCCCAAACUCCUACGGGAGGCAGCAGUGGGGAAUCUUGCGCAAUGGGCGAAAGCCUGACGCAGCCAUGCCGCGUGAAUGAUGAAGGUCUUAGGAUUGUAAAAUUCUUUUACCGGGGACGAUAAUGACGGUACCCGGAGAAGAAGCCCCGGCUAACUUCGUGCCAGCCGCCGCGGUAA